GUAGUUUCUUGUGUUUUCUUCACUUUGCACAUGAGAAAAUUGAGGGUUAAUGAGAUUAAUUUUUUUAAAUCUCCAGAGCCCAGGUUCUUAAUCUUUAUUUUAAAUAGUCAAUAGACUAUAUUUUAAAAAGUCAACAAUAUAAUUGAGUUGCACAAAGCCAGUAUAUUCUUCAAUUGCCUUAACAGUAGUGUUCAGACAACAAAUUCUACCUCAUGCUAAUAAGACACAUCCGAGGAAUAUUGCCAAAUAAGGGAAGUUGCAAUUCAAGAAGGACAGAAGCAAACAGGAAUUCAUCUAGGGGAACAUGACAAGUAUGGUAGGAACCUGGAAAACACCUCAACUAAGUGAUACUUAACCCUACAUGAACAUUCCAGAACUCUGAGGAAUCCCCAAAUAGAUGAGAAUUGCUGCCAAGAAGCUUGGAGUUGAACAAGAUGUUUCACUACAGUAUAUAGCAAAUUUCCUUACAAAUUUUGAGGUGAUCUAAUCUUGGGAGAAGAGAAAAGGAAGGCAAGUAGCAACUUUUAUAAAAGUUAAGUAGUAUCAUUUUUUUUGGUACGGGGGAUCGAACUUGGGACCUUGUGCUUGCAAGGCAGGCGCCGGAACCACUGAGCUAAAUCCCCUGCCCUAGUAUAAUUUUUUUUUAAAAAGCAAGCAAAGCAAUAUUUUACUGGAUAGAAGUUUGUAUAAUUUCUGAUUUUAGGUGAAUUCUGCUCCAUAUAGAAAGCAAGGCAAUUGAGCCUAUAAUAUUAGGUUCCUUUUCUUUGAGAAGGCCUGAGGGAGAAAGAAGCCAAUGAGAAAAGUUCUUGCCUUUGACACAGUGAUUCUUGUAGGCUGAGUGAACAAGUACACACCUUAAGCUCAUGGGCAGGAAAAGUGAAGGAAUGUUCUAAGAGCUAAACAUCAGUUUCUGAGAAUAAAUAUGGUUGACUCAUUCUUAUAUUUUGGAUGAAGUCUUGGAAACAAACCAAAUUCUUUUGACUUUCUCUAAUCCUUUGCUUGGAACCUGCCCAGAACCACGUAAGAGAAUGACUAAUCUGCAUCUGGUAGACACAUAGACUAUGAGAAACCUGCUUGGACUAAGAUGGAACCCUAAUGUGACUUGUAUGAACCGUGACUUAGAAAAUAGAGCAUUGGUUUGGAAAACAGUCCAGUAGUUCCUCCAGGGGUGAAACACUGUUGCCGUUCAACCUACCAAUUGGACACCUAGGGACCUGCCUUCUUUUUGUCCACUUCACCUGACAACUUUCAUUAGUCCAGUAAAUGAAUUAAAGAAGAGAAAUAAAUUGUUUCAUGUUCUUAAAGCAAGGGUCAUCCAGAAUCUACUAAUUAUACUGAACUCUGUUUUUUGUCUCUGCUUCUUCUUUUACACUUACAUAUCUAUUUUUACAAGUAUAUUAAUAAAUACCACUUUUGUACUAAAAUAACAUUUUAUCUGAUUAAGAAUAAUAUCUAGUGUUGAUUAGUAAAAAUACAGGAAAAAUUCAUAAACCUAGUAUCCAAAAUGAACCACUGUUAAUAUUUUGUUACUUUAUUCUUUUGCUCAGGGUGUAUUUGCAUAGAUCUACA
ensembl:lncRNA